CUGUGUUCCGGGCAGGAGUGUCAACCUGGAGCUCCGGCCACGCCACAGCCUCAGGCCAGCCCUCGACCGUCCUCCCUGGGGUCCGGCCGGGUGACCCCAUCCGUCCUCGCAGGCACCCUGGCCCUUCCUUACCUCGGCCUGCCGCUUCAGGGCACCUCCUUCUCACCUCCCGUAAAAGGAUGGUCCUUGGGCGUAGGGUGUCUCGGGGUCCCCACUGCCACCCCCCAGCCUAGAGAGAUGAGCUUCACCCAGUGUUCCACAGAGUGGAUGCACCAGAGUUACCGUUCUCAGUGGCGACACCGGUCACUUCCGAGUCUUUCCUAGUGUGCAGGGCUGGGGCUUCGAGUGCGGCACAACCCCCUGGAGACGCCUUCGAGCCCUUGUGCUCCCUGCCCGCCCGUCACUGGUGAGCAGUGAUCGGCGCGGACAGACACACCUCGGUUGUCUGACUGCACCCCUGGAGGACACCUCGGUUGUCCCCAGCACUGGAGAGAUGGCAAAGCAGGUCACCAAAGACGCUUGUGUGCAGGCUUUGGGGUGAGCAGAAGUUUCCAUUUCCGUGGGCUAAGUGUUCACAGGUGCGA
rnacentral:lncRNA from 1 species